AUUUUGUUUUACAGAAGGAUCUUUCAUCCUGUGACUGAAAGCACAUAGCCUGUUGCCCCCAGUUGCCUUAAACAAACAGAACCAUCUCCAGGAGGCUGUGCGCUCCUUUGUAAGAGCCAUAUGAAGACACCUGCUCCUGCCAUGAUUGUAAGUUGCCUGAGCUCCCCCC